UUUUUGACAUUGUGAAAUUAUUGGCAUUAAUUAUCUCAAUGGGUUGCAACAAAGAAUUCUGUAAAGAUUAUUUGGAAUUGAAGGCAGAAGAAGCUAGUUGUCGUGAUUUAUUUAGGAUAUUUUAUUCAUGUGAAUUAGAAAAAAAGAAUUUCUUGGAUGCACCUGAAGGAACUGACAAGAUACGAGGUAUUCAACGGCGAUGGAUCAUUUUUGCCUCCUGUCUCUAUGCAGAGAUUCUUAAUUUCUGUGAGAAGGCCCAUGAACAUUAUAGGUUCUAAAGUUGUACUCUUCUUGAAUUAUCCUUCAUGUAAUGGUGGUCUUCUCAAGCUUUUCUUCAACAUAAUCCUAGGAGAGGUAAUAAGACCGGAAAUGAAAUCAGAGAAUUUUACAUCUAUGGUCGGAAAACUUGAUUGGAGGGUUGACUUAGACAAGACAAAAAAUGUGGGGGACAGCUACUAUAUUCCUUCACUCUCUAUUAUGGCUGCUAAAUUGUCCUAUGAAAAUGAAGCCUUUACCAAGAAAGUCAUCACACAUAAUUGGCAGAUGGACUUCAUAAAGUGUUACAGCUUUUGGAAUGCUUACCAGGAAGUAUACACCACACAAGCCAUUAUGUUUCAAGACAAAGUUGAAGAUUCAAACCUAGUUGUAGUGGCAUUUAGAGGAACCAUCCCAUAUAAUGCAGACCACUGGAUCACAGAUGUGGACCUUUCAUGGUAUGAGCUUGAAGGUGUAGGUAAGCUACAUGCUGGAUUCAUGAAAGCAUUGGGCUUGCAAAAGAACACAGGCUGGCCCAAAGAAAUAGAUGAAAGCCCAGACCAAAAACUAUUUGCAUAUUAUCAAAUCAGAAAAGAACUGAAAAGGAUAUUGAGCAAAAAUGAGAAGGCAAAGUUUAUACUGACAGGACAUAGUUUAGGAGGGGCAUUGGCAAUUUUAUUUGCAGCAAUAUUAACUUUGCAUGAAGAGGAAUGGCUGUUGGAUAAAUUGGAAGGAGUUUACACAUUUGGACAACCUAGAGUUGGGGAUCCACAAUUUGGGAACUUCAUGAAGGACAAGUUCAACAAGUACAAUGUCAAGUAUUAUAGACAUGUUUAUUCCAAUGAUAUGGUUCCUAGGUUGCCAUAUGAUGAUACAACCUUCUUCAAACAUUUUGGAUCAUGUCUCUAUUACAACAGCCUCUACUAUGGCAAGGUAAUGGAGGAAGAACCAAACAAGAACUACUUCUCUGUGCUAUGGUAUUUUCCCAUGUUACUGAUUGCAGUAUAUGAGUUUAUUAGGGGGUUCAUCCUCCCUUGGAUAAAAGGCAGUCAUUACAGAGAAGACUGGUUCCAGAUAAUGUUUAGGAUGGUAGGGUUGGUGAUUCCAGGGUUAUCAGCUCAUACUCCUAUAGAUUAUGUUAAUCUAACUCAAUUGGGAACAGUUCUUCACCUGCCACAAUCAGCUAAUCAAGAUCGUCUUAAAGGUGAUUGAAUUUCAAGAUUCAGAGUCAUUUAAAAAUAAGACAAUAAAAUUAUUCCAACCUAUUGUAAAAUCAACUCUACGGCUUGAAUAUUUCAUUAUUAUUAAUAUUUUGUAUCGUAUUGGCUUGUGAUGAGUUUGUAUUAUUUAUGUAAUAUGAUCAAUGAGGAUUCAUUUAACCAACCUCAUCGUUACGUUGUUUGGAACUGAA